rnacentral:lncRNA from 1 species
AGGCCAGACAGAUAAUUCUGGGUCAUUUCAGGCCUGAGACCUCAACCAUGGUGUGGCAGAAGCAUUCUGGAAAAAGUGUGAAGCUUUGCUGAGGUAAAAUACAUUCAAUAGAUUUCAUUGAUGUCACUGUUGCUACUUCAAAAUGAUUCUCCUUGAAUCUGAUUGCCCUGGAGGACUUCAAGGUCUUAGCCAAGGCCUGGCUCGCUGCCUUUCCUUAAGGGAGCACCAGCAGUGCCAUCUCCCUUCCACUGGUUAUCUUGUAGUUAGUUCCGUGGGCUAAUUACCUCUCUUGAAAAUAUCUGGGAAAGAAAUGCCUCAGUUCUGUCUGUUUUACUGGGGAUUAGCACUGAUUUAAUUAAAUUUGUUUGCAUUUCUAGCAUUUCACAGGCCACAUUCCACAAGGGGAAUCAAGACUUUUCUGCACUCUGGCUUCACUUGAGUUUCUCACUGAGAUGUGACACUUUGGAACUGCAUUUAAUCUGAAUCGUGUCUAUGCCUAUAAUAAAUUACUGCUUUUACAAUCCACUGUAGCAGGGGAGUAGCUCUGGAAGCACCAAAGCUUUGAAGGAGUGCUUAGACACUGGUCCAGCUGGGUUGCUUGGUUCCUGUUAAAGAAGGAUUUAGCCUGAACUGUUGGAAUGUUUAAGCAAUAUGACUUGGAAGCAAUUUAGCUGAGUUUGUUAUGGUAAACCUCUCAUUUGUUAGAUCUAUAAAAAGUCUGCAUAUUUUUCUUGUAAUCAGAGAUUUUCAAUAACAUAUACACAGGUUAUAUAAAUACAUUGAAGGAAAAUUCAUUAGACAAAUGUUUCUCUUCUAGCAUGGAUAGACGUGAUUUCAAUAAUUUUUUGAGUUUCAAGCCCUGGAAAAGUUCUUGGCUUCAGGCUGUUUAUUUUCUUGCAUUAUACAUUCAAGGGCCAGCACUUUAAAAUCCUCAGAUAUGUCCCAUUCUCCUGUUCUGGUUAGGAGGCAAGAAGCCAUGUCAAAAGAAAUGUCAUCAGGAAAGGUAUCAUUAUGGAUAUUUGCAGAGACCUGGAUACUUUCAUAAAAUCUCAUUUGAACAAUGCAGAAAUAUAAAAGUGAAGAUGAAGCUGGGUGAACUAAAGAUGUGUAUGCCUGUAGCCUUCAUUAAAAAGGUACAUAUUUAUUUAAAGUGUUUUUUUGGCCUCAUUUCCCUAGUAUCUGAUUGUUUCUUAGCUAGUGA